GGCUCGGUGGCACAGUGGGAGUGCAUCUGUAUAUCAUCUGUAAAGCUUGGUUGAGUAUGCAGACGAUGCUGGUUUAAGUCCGGUCUGGGCCA